rnacentral:rRNA from 1 species
AUUGAACGCUGGCGGCAGGCCUAACACAUGCAAGUCGAGCGGAUGAAGGGAGCUUGCUCCUGGAUUCAGCGGCGGACGGGUGAGUAAUGCCUAGGAAUCUGCCUGGUAGUGGGGGGUAACGUCCGGAAACGGGCGCUAAUACCGCAUACGUCCUGAGGGAGAAAGUGGGGGAUCUUCGGACCUCACGCUAUCAGAUGAGCCUAGGUCGGAUUAGCUAGUUGGUGGGGUAAAGGCCUACCAAGGCGACGAUCCGUAACUGGUCUGAGAGGAUGAUCAGUCACACUGGAACUGAGACACGGUCCAGACUCCUACGGGAGGCAGCAGUGGGGAAUAUUGGACAAUGGGCGAAAGCCUGAUCCAGCCAUGCCGCGUGUGUGAAGAAGGUCUUCGGAUUGUAAAGUACUUUAAGUUGGGAGGAAGGGCAGUAAGUUAAUACCUUGCUGUUUUGACGUUACCAACAGAAUAAGCACCGGCUAACUUCGUG